rnacentral:rRNA from 1 species
AACGAACGCUGGCGGCAUGCCUAACACAUGCAAGUCGAACGAGACCUUCGGGUCUAGUGGCGCACGGGUGCGUAACGCGUGGAACCUUCCCUUAGGUUCGGAAUAACUCCCCGGAAGGGGUGCUAAUACCGGAUAAUGUCUUCGGACCAAAGAUUUAUCGCCUUUGGAUGGGCCCGCGUUGGAUUAGCUAGUUGGUAGGGUAAAAGCCUACCAAGGCGACGAUCCAUAGCUGGUCUGAGAGGAUGAUCAGCCACACUGGGACUGAGACACGGCCCAGACUCCUACGGGAGGCAGCAGUGGGGAAUAUUGGACAAUGGGCGAAAGCCUGAUCCAGCAAUGCCGCGUGAGUGAUGAAGGCCUUAGGGUUGUAAAGCUCUUUUACCCGGGAUGAUAAUGACAGUACCGGGAGAAUAAGCUCCGGCUAACUCCGUG